UUUCUUUUUACUGUAAACAGGAGGGGUUUCCCCCUGCUGUGUAUUUAUUUAUUAAGAAAAUGCGAACCAGCUUACAUAAAAGUUCAAGAGACAAAAAAAGGGAAAGAAAGUAAACAAAUAAGCAAAAAUUACAAGAUGGCUUCUAGCCAUUGUUGUAUGGAAGGAAAGUAUAUGUUAUAUGGAUGUAAAUAAGUACUUCUUUGCUCUGUGAAUAACCAGAGCAAACUCCAAUGCCAUAUAUAUUACACAUACAUGAUAGCCGGAGCUUGCAUUCACAUAUAUGUUCCUCACCCAACGCUAGUUGCAGUAGUUUUUUCUAGCAGGUAUAUGUAGGGGGAGAGAUCGAUCGAGAUGGAUGAUGCCAACAAUGGAUACAUCAGCAGCAUAUAUAGAAGCAAAGGAACCAACAGCAGCAAAAGGUGAAAAAAAGAAGAAGAAAGAAACCAAGGUGUGUGUGUGACCCCAAGGAUGCAAAACCGAACGAACAGGUUGAGAGGCAGCAGCAGGCAGCCAUAUGCCAUUAGCUCACGCAGGAGCUAGCUAGCAGUUUAAUCACUCGCUGCCCGCGGGCUUGUAGGCGAUGAAGCUGACGCACUGCGUCUGCUUGAUGUUGUCGAAGCCGAGGAUCCGGACGUAGGCGUCCGGGUAGGAGGCGAUGGCCUCCUGCAGCUCCUUGUAGACCUGCGACGCGUCGGUGCAGCCGAACAUGGGCAGCUUCCACAUGGUCCAGUAGCGGCCGUCGUAGUAGCACGGGGAGGUGGAGUUCUCGCGGUACACGAAGCCUUCCUUGCUGAACUCGAGGCAGGGCACCCAGUUGUUGCGCAGCAGGUAGUCCACCUGCUUCAGCAGCUGCUCCUCCGUCAGCGGCGGCAGGUACGACAGCGUCUCGAACUUCUUGUUCCCGUACGCCGGCCACACCUGCAAAUUAAUGCAUGCAUCGAUCGAUGUACGUGUUUGUGGUUGCAUUUCGCUAGCUCUGCUGCAAAGAAUGAAUGAAGAUGGCCGGCCGGAGCCAAGAACGAAAGGCCAACUAGCUCUUGUGUUAAUUAUGUUGUUAUUACCUGCAUGCACCGGAUCCUGCCGCCGUUGCUGACUUUGGCGAGGCUGGUGGUGGAGCGGCGGGCGACGGGGAGGGUGGCGGUGGACUUGAGACCCUGGAACGGAGCGACGGCGGUGGCGGACGAGGCCAUCACGGUGGGCGCCAUUGCUGCUGCUAUGUAGUACUAGUAGCUAGUGAGGGAGCGAGCUGAGAGUGAGCUGCUUGCUGUUUUUGCUGCUUCUUGCUGCUUGGGUCGUCCUGUAGGCUCCCCCACCGAGGGCAUAUAUAGAAGAGGCAGCGAGCGUGCGUCCAUGGCGACGGAUGGCUGUCGUUGGGGCAAGGACGGAUCGGACGAAUGAAGCGGAUGUGGGAGGAGUGGCCACCGUUGUCCCAUGGCGGGCAACCCGGCCAGCCUGGCCUAUCCUGAUCGCGUCCGCCGCCACAUGUCGCGUCCCCGUGGCGCGCCUUAUCGUCUCAGCCAGCCAACAUGUCCAUGGAGCCACGCCACGCCACGCCAUGGUUGGACUAUAUGUGAUGUGCCACCACUUUAAUUAUUUGUAGAUAGAUAGAUAGAUAGAUAAGCUAGCCGCAGGUAGUAGUGCAGUGGUGAAAGUCACUACUACUGACUGCAAACCAAAAUUUCCCUGGCCGUGCCCGGACUCGCUCGCUGUCUCCGAUUAAACCUAGGUAUAUGUUGAGCAGGACGUCCCCUGGCCGUCGCCAUGGCCGGACUCGCUCGAUCUCUAGGAUCCGAGGUGGUCCUGCUCUGCUCCGUCGUCGGCGAAGAUGAAGACACACCCACUCGUCGUCCCCUUCCUCAUGCAAAUCUGCGCCGCACAAGCUGUUUCCAAAAUUUCGCUGGCCGUGGCCGGACUCGCUCGCUAUCUAUCUCCGGUCUCCCGUCGCCGAUCAAACCGAUCGAGCAGGACGUCGCCGCCGUGGCCGGACUCGCCCUCUAGCUCGUCGUCCACGAUCGAGCCAGGAUCCGGCCGAGGUGGUCGUGGUCCUGCUGCUCGGUCGGUGAAUGACUGACUCGUCCCCUUCCUCCUGCUGCAAAUCUCCGCCGGACGCAUGCAUCCGCCGUCUCUCUCAAGCAGAAGCAGUUCCAUUCAGCUCGAUCGUCGUGGUUUGUGAAAGGAUAAGUGAAGAACGACGACAAUGGAAGGGGAAAAAAAGACAAACAGUUUUGGGCUUGGGCUUGCUUCGGCUGCGUCUGCUUGCUCUUCGCCUCUAGUGCUCUCGUCCCUCUCACAUGUUCUACUACAUUCUACACGGACGGCUGCUCCGGACCACCUGAUGAUGCACUGAUGAUCACGGCCUGUUUGGAUCUAUAGAAUUAAUUGGGCUGAAUUUGGAAUCAGUUUCAUGGGUCUCGGCUAGUUUGGCUGCGCAUUGAACUGGAAAGUGACAUUCCAAGCUGUUCCAGAGCCUGAAUUUGUGGCCUAGCUACCUCAAAUUCAUGGGCUAUCCAAGACAAAACGAGUCCGCCUCCUCAUUGUCUUCAUCGGGCGUACGACGCUUCAUUCCUCAACCAUUUGACCUGUUCUAUAUUUCUAAAAAGAAAAGCCGCCCGCCUUGACCAUUACGAAAAAUACAUAAACGAUUCGCUAAAGUUGCAUUUAAAUUCCCCACGUUUGUCAUUUCUAAAGAUAAAUUUAAAAAGCCUUCUAAAUUGCAAUUAAUUACCGAAACAUGCCUAAAAAUGCGUCUGCAUUUUUUUUUACUAUGAAAGGUACUAGACACAUAUUCACGCAUUGCCGCGGGAUUUUCUUAAAAAUAAUCUGUUUUGUAUAUAGCAAUGCUAUAUGGUAUUCUGUAUAUUGUGUGUAUAUUUAUGAAUUUGACUUGCAUGUUAUUUUAUUGUAUCGGAUCUAGUAAAAAAACAAUAAGCUAAUAGAAAAAACCAAUAAAAUAGUUGAUUGCGUUAUACAAGAAUAGGUGAUGAAACAAAUAACAUAUGUAAAUAACUUUACAUCUACAUAAUAGAGAUGAUGAGGAUAUUUUUUGUAAUUAAUAAGGGAUGACAUUUACGUUAAUAGGUUAGAGAUUAAAAGUAUUGCACAUAAUAAAGAUGAUGUGAAUAUAUUUUAUAAUUAAUAAGAGAUAUUGUGUAAUUCGAAAAAAAGGAUGCAUGACAUGGAUAGCUUGCAUGAAAGGAUUGCAAGUUAGUGGGACACUUAUGGGGUGUUUGAAUCUUGGGACUAAAGUUUAGUCCUUGUCAUAUGUUGGGUACUAAUUAGUAGAAUUAGACAUGAGCUAAUUAUAAAACUAAUUACAUAAGUUGUGGCUAAUUCACAAGAAAAAUCUAUUAAGCCUAAUUAAUCCAUUGUUAACACAUGUUUACUGUAGCACCACAUUGUAAAAUCAUACACUAAUUAGGCUUAAUAGAUUCGUCUCAUAAAUUAGCUACAAUCUAUGUAAUGAGUUUUGUAACUAGUGUAUAUUUAAUAAUACUCUAAAUUAGUAUACAAACAUCCAAUGUGAUAGAAACUAAAGUGAGGGAUGAUAUUAACACCUUGCAUUCAGAGAGAAAACAUCUAGUCGGGUCCAGCUUUAUAAAAGUAUAUAGAUUACAAAGUAACACUAAAUGUGCCUUUUUAGAUUACAUAUAUCUAAACAAUGUAAAUACGCCACAAAUGUUUGUCUUACCUAUAAUAUAUAUUGUACAAAAUAAUUCAGUAACCAUAAAAAUAUGCUAUAUAUAUUUCUAUACACAUUCUACCAUUGUAAAAUUAAAAGUAAGCAUUAAUGCUACGGGUCAUCAUGUAGACAAAGUAAACAUGCUAUUGAUACGAUAAACAAUUUACAAUGAGUCAUCUAGCCAUUUUUCUGGCUAGGAACUCAACGAAAUGGGCAAAACAGCUAUUUAAAUGGGCGUCAAUGGUCGAAUAAACAGAAAUGACAGACCACCAUGCAAUGUUCAAAUGAGGUUUAAGCAGGCUAAGUGAUGGUUUACUCGAACCAUGGUACAAACAUAGCAAAAAACAAAAAAAAACAUUACAACAAGCAUUAGAAAAAACAUAUAGCUUGUUUCUACUGUCCCACCGCAAAAACCACCUAAAGCUAUGAUUAAGCUUUUCAAAAUUUAGGGAUUUUUUUGUAAAUAAAACUGACCCUGUAAAUAUUUUUCAAAACCAAGAACUAAAAUGUUGUAGUUCUUACCUCCAAAUAAUUACAGAAAAGCUUAGAGGUCUUUUUUGUAAAAUUGUCAUUUUCAAAAUGAUUUUAAAUCUAAAAAUGUUAUGACAUAAUCAAUUGGAUUAAUGACAUUAGCAUAUAUUUUUGAAAUGAAUUAAUCAUUUCAUAAGAGAAAUAAUUUGGUUAGGGACUUGUUUGUAAAUAACCUUAGAUAUCUAGAUGGCAAUAGCUCCGCCGGUCUUUUGCCAAAAUAGUGCUUUGGCGGUUGUGAUCAUCAGCAAGCGAUAGAGAUAGCUGAGCAAGCCACGAUGAACAAGGGGAGGUUACCUUUAUAAUGAAGAGGCACAAGAGGAGGAGAUAGGGAGGGUGGUUAGCACCUCUGCUUGAGGUUGGCGGCGGCACAACUGCACAACGAUAGAGGCUGGGCAAUGGGUGGCACACUAGAGUGAGAUUGCUCGGGUGGAGGAAUCUUAUAUAUGGUGGUGGUGGAAUUUCUUGAGGACGCCGGAGAUGGGAGAAAAAGGUUGCUGAAGUCUUGCUAGAAAAAUCGCUAGCAAAAAGUCUUGUUUUAGAUCUAUAGAGUUUUUGGUGAUGCCUCAAGAAAUGGAUUCUAGAUCUGUGAUCAUCGCGAUGAGGACAAAAGGUUCUAGGAAAAGUACUAGAGAUAGAAGGAUGAGAAACUAAGAUUUUAGAGAUCAUUAGAAGUUUUGUUUCAAAGCUUAAAAUUUUAAAAUAUUAGUCUUAAUGGUAGGAGGAAUUGAUAAAUAUUACUCAAGUUAAGUCCUUCUACCCCGGUAUGUAUUCUACCACUGGAUUUUAACUUAUUUGGUUGAUUGCUCUCCCCACCGGACACGUCAGCCUAUACCCUUUCAUGUAGAGAAACACUAGUGUUUGCUAAAGGAAUAUUGAUAUGGAAACUUUUUUUCACCGUUUUACAUACCCGACGAAACACACACCCACGCACCCCAUGACCCAUGAGCCCGCCAUGGCCAACGGCCCAUAAGUGUCGCCGUUGUUGAUAAAGACGAGCUCGCUGGUGUUAGGGUUCUAGGUUUAGGGGACUCCAUGUCCGGCGGCCUUACAAAGGGAAGGGAGCUAGCGGUGGCGGCUAGCCUUGCGGUGGUAGCGGGUUGAUGUAGCAAGCAAGGUGGUGGGGGUGUUAUCGAUCGGAAGGUGGGAGACAACCGGUUGGCGGGGGCGAAGGUCAAGUGUCUUCCUCCUCGUGCUAAGAUUAGCGGAGGGUGAGGUGGUGUGAUGGGGCGGGCCAGCCGCGGCGGAGGCGCCACUGGCCGAGGCGGUGGGCGUGGAACUGUGGAAGGUGGAGGUGGGGUGUGAGCAGGGUUUAGAAAGAUGACGAGGUUGGAGCGGAGGUUAACGAAGAAUAACACAGGACGGGAUGGGGUAGCGCGUGAACCCGUCACGCAUUAACGUGGUCCCUUCAACAUGAGGAGCAGAUCGAGCGCCCAUCACGGCGUGGAUGCGCUCGGCUGUCUUGCACUCUCGCCGUCGCUGUCGUCGUUUGUCCGACGCCCUGAAUAGUAAAUCCUUCCCGGGUUAAACUAAUCGACUCGCCAUCUCCGUUCUCCCGUCGUCCCCGAUUAAACCGAGGUAUAUAUUGUGACUUACAGGACGUGGUGGGCGUGUCCGUGGCCGGACUCGCUCGCUAGCUGCUCGAUCGUGCACGAGCCAGGAUCCGACGAGGUGGUCCUGCUCCGUCGGUGAAGACUCCUCUACUCGUCCCCUUCCUCGUGCAAACCUGCGCCGCACAAGCUCAGCCGUAAGCUGCUCAGGCUGCCGUAAGACGCCGCAUGCAUCCGCCGUCUCUAUCAACUCUCAACCAGAUAGGCUCGUCGUCGUUUGUGAAAGGAUAUAAGUUAAGGACGCCAUGGGCAAAGGACAAAGGAAAUUAAAAGAUAUUUAUUUCAGUUUUGGGCCUUGGACGUACUUUCAGCUGCGUCUGCUUGCUAUUGUAGUCUGGCCUCUCUCACCUGUGGUGUGGGUGCCGCUUGUCGUGACUAUCGAUCUUCCUUGAUAUUGCUAAUUGGCACGACUCAAGCAGAAGAACAAGACAAAAAAAAGUUCACACACAACUUCCUUGUCGUGAUUAUCUUCAUUAAUAUUGCUACUUGGAGGCUUCUCAGUAUAUCUACGUCAAUCCUUAUGAGAUGCGGAAGGAAAAUUGACAAAUCGUGUAGGCAGUUUCAUAAAAAAAAAUCAGAAACAUCUAGCUUUUAAUUUUGUAGAUUUCAAUCAUCGCCACUAGUAAUACACCGUUCGACCUAUUCUCUUUUUCUAAAAAAAAUACCCAUCCGCCUCGACCAUUACGAAAAAUACAUAAACUAUUCCCUAAAGAUGCAUUUAAAUUUCCCAUUUCUCAUUAUGAAAGCUAAAUUUAAAAAAACCUCCUCACAUCGUAUUAUUUAAUUAACGAGACAUGCCGUUAACACUAAGUUUGCAUUUAUAUUACACACAUCUACCAUUAUAAAAAACAAUGUAAAUUCGCUAUUGUCCUACUUAUGCAUCUACACAAUUAACUAAAUAUCCUUCAAAUGUUUGACGUAAUACCAAUAUAAUCCAUUAUAGAAAACAAUCCAAUAACCAUAAAAAUGUCCUAUAUAGAUUUCUAAAUUACACAUUCCUUCUACCAUUGUAAAAUUAAAAGCUAGCAUUAACGUUGUGUUUCACCAUGUAGACAAGGUAAACAUGCUAUUUUAAUAGUUUAUCACUUAUGAAAAAUGUUCCCUAACCGAGAACAUACCAAUGACAUAGACACAAUUCACUUUAAGUUAUAUUAAUAUUUCAUGAUAACACUUUUUGUAGGUUUAAUCAGUUUAUAAAUGUAAAUGAAAUAUUAUCACUUAUAAAUACGUUAAUUUAAUUUAUGCUAUCUAUGUUUUCAUAAUACAAUAAUAUUACUACACUAUACAAUUCUUAUUUGUAGUAAAAAGAUUCAACAUCUUUAGGGUCGUGGCGCAGGUUAAAACAAUUUUUUAUGUUAUUGUAGUAACUAAGAGCCUAGUUAAGGCUGCAGAAUCUAUUUUUGAUUAAAAUAUAAAAUAUAAGAUUGAUAUUUUGAAUAAAAGAUACAAUAAGCACUAGACUCAACUUAACACGUGGAUAAGACAAUUGCAACAACUAAUAAAUCAGAAGUGAAAGUCAAAAUAGAUAUGAAGUCGCAAAAAUGUAUGUGACAAGAGCUAAUAUAACUGAAAUUUAGGAUUUAGCUAAAUACACAUUAAAGGCCCACAGAGGUGUAAUGCAGAUGAUGAAAACACAUAUAGACUUACUGGUAAAUUUUGACAAUCGGAUUAUGAUUCUAGAGUAUCUAAAGGUUUUGUGUUUGUAAGAUGAAUUCAGUGAAUAUAGAGAGUAAAGAUCAUCAUUUUGUUUAGGUUUUAUGUAGACUAUUUGUUUAGAUUUAGUAUAACACAGACACUUACAACCACACACACUAACCCCUAUAAACACACACAUGCAAACCCUAGACCUAUGAGGUACCUUCUAAGACGGGACCGACAAAUCCUCGAGACGAGAUUGAUGAAGUCACCACAAACGCUUUAUUGUCAAUGUGAACAUCAUCUACCACUGAAAUCAUAAAGUCGUUAAAUCCUAGAAUAUUCGCUCCUACGGGGAGUCAAACUUAGGACCUCAGGUGCUAUUGAGGUUCUGUGACCACUAGGCUACAUGCACUAAUUUACACAUAGAACUUCAAAUACAUCCCUAAAUACGAGAAAAUUGUAGAAAUCAUCUGUGUAGCAGUGCAACUUGGUGAUGCAAGCUUUUGUAUAUGAAAAAUAGGAGAAGAGAACAUUGCUGUAUGUAAAUGGAUUUCAGUUAUGCUUUUUUCUUGUGUUAAUAUUCUUAAUAAACAUAUUCUGUCCUGUGCAUGAAAAACAGAGGUUGGCAGCGCAAGGGGGAGAAAACAGAAUGAGAAGAAAGAGGCUCUGAUCCUAACCAUUGCUGGUUGUUCCUUGGAUGGCUGAGAGAUGCUGCUAGUGCUACUACUGCUUAAUUAUGUGCAGUAGCAGCACCCGAUCUUGAUCGCUCACAGUGGUGAGCCAGUCUUUAUUGGGUCUUGUUUAGUUCCGAAAAGUGAAAAGUUUUCGGUAUUGUAGCACUUUCGUUUGUUUGUGACAAAUAUUAUUUAAUCAUGGACUAACUAGGAUCAAAAGAUUCGUCUCGUGAUUUACAGCUAAACUGUGUAAUUAGUUUUUGUUUUAAUCUAUACUUAAAUGUUUCAUGCAUGUGCCACAAGAUUCGAUAUUACGGAGAAUCUUAAAAACUUUUUGAUUUUCAGGGUGAACUAAACAAGACCUUGGUCUAUAUAGACCAUUUUUCCUUUAUAUUGUGGCUGCCCUAUGUGCCUCAUGCAGUCAUGCAGGUCUCUCGAACUGUCACCUAUCUGACCGGGUAACAGUUUGUCUCCCUAGAGAAGCAAAGCCUUGAUCAAUUCCAAUGAAAGUCGUCGGUCCGGAACCCAAGAAAAUUAAGUUAUAGUGUUUGCAGUUCAGGCAGACAUGCAUGCACAACAAUCAAUUGAGCCUGCAGAAGGCAGGCAUGGAAAUGCAAAACCAUAGGCUGCUAUAUAUCCAGCGCCAGCUAGCCCAUGCAUGGUACGUGUGUACGUGCAUCAUCCAUGGCACCAAAUUAAACAGGUAGCCCCCGUCUCGCCUCUAAAUUUUGCAGGGGAAGCAGCAUUGUAGCAAACCCUACUGCCUCGGAUUUAUAUAUUCCUAGAACAAUUUCAUUUAUUGGUCCUGGGUAAGCCAUUUUUCAGUGUCAACAAUACGAAGCUAUAGGCUCAAAAAGUCAAAUAUAUAUUUGCAACAUAAGGUUAACAUUACUGCUAGAUGGACCAUCACAAAAGUACUUUUCAUAAUAUUUACAGAAAAUAUAUCAUGGAGUAAUAUAACUCUAUUUAAGAUAAUAUAUUGUUUGGGAUGUCAUAUGCGAGCAUGGACUAUUACUUUGUAGAUCUGUGUGUUCUCCUAAGGUUGCUAAUAUUAAGCGGUUCGAGAGUACUCCAAACCUCCAUACUGAAUGUUCAUCAGCCUAGUUGGCAUCACAGUAUUAUAUCACCUGAAGGUUCCAACUCACUGAUUACAUCAGCAUCUCCAAGAGUUUCCAAUAAUUUUUCCCAAAACCACAGAGUUUUCUAUCUCGCCAAAAAUUAUUAGGAUGAAUAAAUAAGACCAUCUCCAACAGUUAACAAUAAUCUACUCCUAAAAUAUAAAAAAUAAGUUUUACAUUAGGAAUCCUAUACUAUUUCUAAAUUAUCCAAACCACUUUUACAUAUUAUUUCUCUUUUUUAUAUUUGUAUCAGAAACCAUUUACUACUCUUUAUUAUUUCUCACAUCCUUCCACCUUUAUAGUGGCCGAUGGAUAUGCACGCGCGUGGUAGACGCGUGGAUAUAUUUGCGUGAUCGGUCUUUUUUCCAAGCAUGGAAGGAUUGGGAGGUGAGAUUGGGAACUAAUGGAGAUAGAUUUUUUCCAUUCUUGCCAAAAAUCUUAGAUUGGGAGGCUUUAUUGGGAACUCUUGGAGAUGCUCUAGGAAGCAAUGCUAGCACGAGCCAUAAACAUGCAAGUAUCGAUGUGGAGUCAAUAUGGCAAGAUAUUAGUCUUGCUAUACCUUAAUUGGAUAGCUAGAAUUAUUUACUCUUCCUCUUCUUUGCUUAGUCUAUAACCUAUGCCACCCUGUAAGCCCUAGAGCAAUAAGCCAUUCAAAUGGAGGACGGAUAUCAAUUCACUUGAAACUUUAUAUGGGCUAUGGUUUCAUUCACAUGUUCAUCGACCAAGUGCAGCGAGUGACAUGUGGGCCCCAUUUUCAAAAACCUCUCAUUGUGGCCCCAAGACUCUGCCAAUGAACUCGAGUUGAAUGGAAAGAAAUCACAAUGCCCCACACAACAAAGGGUGAUGGGUGGGCAUAGUGUGGAAGCAUCAUGCUGCAUAUUUAGGAGGUAGAGGUUAUGUGAAGUGGUGGUGUGCAUAGUGCGCAUGAGGGGUCUGGCAGGUAGGCUAGCUAGAGCAUAGUUGCACACUAGUGGCCAGUGGUAUGACCUAUCAAGAUGGAUAGGAAUAGAGUUAGCAAGUCUAAGGCCAGAUACAUAUGGCAAUUUGAAGUGUUUUUGUUUCCACUUUGAGUAUUUGAUUCAAAAUUAUUUUUCACAAAUUUCUCAUGCUCUUUGCUAUGUUAUCUACUGGCCCAUAGUUCAAAUUUAUUUUAUUUCCUUUACCACUGUGCAAGAAUUUGCUUUGUUAUCCACCUGCCAAAGUUUAGUUUGGAUGUAUGAUCUCUUGGAAGUCUUCAGGUCUAUUAAUUGAUGGUGAGGUUGGUUUCUUGGUCAAAUUACCUCAUGCUGGCAAGAUAUUUCCAUAGGGAUGCGCUCGGGCACAACAAGGCACACAAGUGUUGCUGAAUAUGGUGAUAAGGUGUGGAAAAGAUAUAAUUGGACACAUGCGAGUUGUCUAGACACAAUGCAUGGUUCACCAUGUCGAGGAGAUUUGAUACCGAAGAAAGGUGAUAUUUUCAUCGAUUAUGAGGAAGACAUCGAUGGACAACAUGACAACUCAUAUUGUAGGCAUGUGCGGCUUCUUGUGUUGCUCUGAUAGUUCCAAUGGCAUGAGACUAUGAUACAACCAGUGGGGCAAUAUGGGUGACAUGAUGAGUGGAAUAAGUGACAGCGUGGGGGAUGACGAUGCUAGGCAAGGGUGAUGUAUCAGUGAGGCCUGAUAGGUGAAAUGCAACUGAUGCCCUUGGCUAGAGUGGAUUGAGAGGGUAUGGGUGGUGGUGGGGGUGGAUCCAAGUAGGUUUAGGAAAUUAUAAAGGUUUCAUUCUUUUAGAGUAGUCCCAAUGAAUAACUACUUAGUAGUAACAUGGCAUAUAGACACCAAGUAAGAAAUUAUAGCUCACAACAGUGCACAAUCUCUAAUUGUGGCUACAAUGUAAAUUCUCCAAUCAUCUUUUUCAUGUUUCUCCUCCAAUCAUCUUCCUCCCCACUCCCAUAUUCUGCCUUGUUAUUUGUAAUACCAAUUCCAAUAGAUUUCAUGUUGUUUCUUGAACUUUGGUUCUAGUCGAAGGCCUAGUUUCUUGCAAGACACCCAAUUUCUUUAUGUUCUCAUCUCUAUCAUGUUUAAUGUUGUUGGCACCUCAGCAAAAUGUCCAACAUGGCAUCAUAUUAAAUGGCAUGAAAAUUAUCCUCUUCAUAGAAUAAGGACAGCCCUUGGUCGAUUUAGACUAAAUUUAGAAUUGGUUUUCAAUUUGAGUUAGGUUUGUACCAUCAAGAGUACAUUUCACACACACAAUUCAUGAAAGCACAUAAAUGCAUAUUCACUACCGGAAUCCGCAUCUUUGCCGAGUGUUAAAUACUUUGCUGAGUGUUUAUUUUUGGGCACUCGGCAAAGAAACUCUUUGCCGAGUGUCAAAAAAAAACACUCGGCAAAGACUUCUUUGCCGAGUGUCAAAAAAUAAACACUCGGCAAAGAAAAUUUUAAAUCGAAUUUUAAAGCCCUAAACGAAUUCAAAUCAAAAAGUUUUUAACUACAAAGUUGUAUAACUUCUCAAGAUCUACAACAUUUAUUUUGAUCAUUUCUUCAUUUGACAAAGCAAAAAUAAAUUUGUUUACAAAUUUUACAUCUCUCUCUUAUAGUUUAUGAAAUUACAAGAGAGAUAUAUAAAGAUUUUAGAAAAAUAUUAGAAUCUCCAUGUCGGAUAAAUAUAUGACAAAAUAACCAAAAUAAACUCUGUAGAUCUUGAGAAGUUAUGAAAUUUUGUAUUUGACAACUUUUUCAUUUGAGUUCAUCUUGUCAUGCAAAACCACGUUUUUAAUUGAAAAUUUUAAAAUUUGAAUUUUUUAAACAACCUCGGAUGGAAAAGAUCUCUAAAUAAACUUUGUAGAUCUCAAAAAGUUAUGAAACUUUGUAGUUGACAACUUUUUGUUUUGGAAUCAUCUUGUCAUGCAAAAACUACGUUUGAAUUUCUUAAAUUUAAAAUUCAAAAUUUGUAAACAACCUCGGAUGGAGAAACUUCCUAAAUAAAAAUUGUAGAUCCUAAAAAGUUAUGAAACUUUGUAGUUGACAACUUUUUGAUUUGAAAUCAUUUAGGACCUUAAAUAAUCAUUCUACACAUAAUUUGGUAUAAUAUUUGAGGAACCGAAAUACAAUACAAGCACAAGUCAUAGUGUGGUGCAGUGGUUAAGAGGGAGUACGCACAAGCAAGAGGUCACGAGUUCGAAUUCCAUAAACCGCGAAGAUCCAAAAAAUUCCAGAACUUAGCUGGCAAGAAGAGGCCGUUGGGAGCUGGAAAAAAAGAUUUUUUUUUCUCUUUUUUUUCGGAUUUUUUUGGUUUUUUUUGAAUUUUUUCGUUUUUAUCUUUGCCGAGUGUUUUUAGGCCUUUGCCGAGUGCCACGGACACUCGGCAAAGCGUGAGUGUCCCGUAGUGAUUGUUGUGUUUAAUGUAGUUUUUCCAACGUUUAUAGAAUUUCAAAUUGGCUCCUUUUAACGUGGUUUCAAUUCUAUUUGCGCCAAAUUGAAUUGAUUGAUUUAGGCCUUGUUUAGUUCCCAGAAAAUUUUGCAAAAUUUUUCACAUUCCCCGUCACAUCGAAUCUUUAGGCGCAUGCAUGGAGUAUUAAAUAUAGAUAAAAAUAAAAACUAAUUGCACAGUUUAGUCGGAAUUGACGAGACGAAUCUUUUGAGCCUAGUUAGUCCAGAUUAGACAAUAUUUGUCAAUACAAACGAAAGUGCUACAGUGUCGAUUUCCCAAAAUUUUUUGGAACUAAACAAGGCCUUAAGGAUUUCACACUUACAAGUACAUCCUGAUUCAACAAGUUGAAAGACAGAUCAAGAGCCAGAGCUACCACAACGGUAGUUUCCAGUUGCCUGUAAUGCCACUGAUGAUAUCUCAAAUUUGCUAGGGUAUCUAGCGUUCGAUCCACGAUCAAAUAUAGGCUGUUUGUGUAGAUAUUAAAAUGAAGAGAAAGGGAAUAUAGAUCGAUCCAUCAGAGAAGCAUUGAAGCAGUGCAAUAGAUAUAUGUCAGCAAGUUGGCCGUAAAGCAAAUGCAAGGCCGCAAGGGCAAGGGCGGCAUUGGUAGUUAAUAUAUACUGCCACAAACAGGUGCAUAUAUAAAUUAGGUUUUGAAUAAGCUACAGAUAGAUGCGCGUUAUAUAUACUGCAUUGUAGCAAAAAAGGUUAGUCGUCGUAAUAGCUAGGGCACGUACGAGCAUAAGAAGAAUUAUUGCAAAAAAGCAAAGCGGAGAGGGAGAGCUAGCUACACUGCAGAUCGAUAGGCAGCGCAUGCAGCAGCAGCCUCUGCUCCUUACUACGGCCUUGUUUAGUUCACCCCGAAAUCCAAAAAGUUUUCAAGAUUCUCCGUCACAUCGAAUCUUGUGGCACAUGCAUGAAGGAUUAAAUUUAUACGAAAACAAAAACUAAUUACAUAAUUUGUCUGUAAAUCGCGAGACGAAUCUUUUGAUCCUAGUUAGUUUAUAAUUGGAUAAUAUUUGUCAAAUAAAAUCGAAAGUGCUGCAGUAGCGAAAUCCGAAAUUUUUUCAGAACUAAACAAGGCCUACGUUUUAUUGCUCUUGAAUCUCGACGCAUGGACGAAGCAGCAGCAGCCUCCUCUGCUUGACUUGAAUGGUACUGUACGUACCACAGCAGCUCCACUCAGCUGGAUGAUCAUGCAUCAUGCAGCUAUGGCCGUGGAUUCGUCGUCUCGGUAUCCACGCUAGCUGCUAGAGAUUCUUCGGCUUCUUUAUUUGAUGCAUGCAGCAGCAUUCGCUUUGAUAGAGAAAGAUCGAUAGGUCAGAGGGCUCUGGAGAGGAAUGGGAGGGGACAGCAUGCUACAGACAUGAAGCUUAGCUUGCCACCUAGUAUGUAGUGUAGGCCGGCCGGGAACCCAACUUCCAUGCAUGCGUGCAUCGUGCGUGAAUCCAUGACGGGUCACUAGCGCUUUGCAGCAAGCUCAGAUGCUCACGUACUUGUACGGCCUUGUUUACUUCCCAAAAAAUUUUACAAAAUUUUUCAUAUUUCCCGUCACAUCGAAUCUUUAGACGCAUGUAUGGAGUAUUAAAUAUAGACGAAACUAAAAACUAAUUGCAUAGUUUAGUCGGAAUUGAUGGGACGGAUCUUUUGAGCCUAGUUAAUCUAUGAUUGGACAAUAUUUUUCACAAACAAACAAAAGUACUACAGUACCUGUUUUGCAAAAUUUUUUGGAACUAAACAAGGCCGCAUGGACGUCGUCGGACGACACUGCAGACACAGUAGUAUCCUGCAGGAGGAGCAUUCCAUCCCACUCCAGUAUUCACCCCUUGGAUCGAAAUACCUGCAGGCUGCAGCAAUGCAUGGGAGAAAGUGUAGUUGCAUGCUCUCCGGUCUCUACUGGUAGUACGCAAGAAGUAACUUGCAUGGCGCCAAAUGACAAGCUAGUGUGAAGAGCUUUGUCUGCAGCAAAUUAUAUUACUGUAUUUAUCUAGCGAAAUAUUGAGAAUCAAAAUCUUAGCAACUAGUUUAUUAUAUUCAACCCAAAACCGCAAAUAUAUGCACAUGCAUAUUAUUAUUAAUUAAUCAUGCAUGCAUGCACAAUCUCUCUCGAUCUCUCUCCUGUCUAGCUAGUAUAAGGCCCUGUUUAGUUCCCCACCUAAAAAUUUUUCAUCCAUCCCAUCGAAUCUUUAGACACAUGCAUUGAACAUUAAAUGUAGAUAAAAAAAAAAUAAACUAAUUACACAGUUUAGUUGAGAAUCGCGAGACGAAUCUUUUAAGCCUAGUUACUCCAUGAUUAGCCUUAAGUGCUACAGUAACCCACAUAUGCUAAUGAUAGAUUAAUUAUGCUUAAUAAAUUUGUCUUGCAGUUUCCUGACGAGCAAUGUAAUUUAUUUUUUUAUUAGUUUCUAAAAACCUCUCCCGACAUCCUUCCGACAUAUCCGAUGUGACACUCAAAAAAUUUUCAUCCCCAAUCUAAACAAGCCCUAAAUAUGGUAUAGGUCAGAAAAAAAACAAAAGAGCAAGAAGAGAACAAAAUGAAGAUAUACUCACAUAGUUUCCUCCCUCUCCCUCAUCAUAACCUUAUGAUGUGAUGUCCAAUCAGCACCUUAUCAUAAUGUGGUGCCCAAUCAGCAGUCUACAUCAUAUCGGCACAACAAGGGUUGUGUUACAGGGCAUAUAUGAGCUGAGUGUCUCAUUCCCCGGCCCCCAUCCUCUCUCUCUCUCUCUCUCUCUCUCUCUCUACACAAUGGCCGUACUAGCAGGCAGACAAACAUUGAAACGGUUCUGUCCAUAGUAAAAAGGAAAGAGGUUUGAAGAGGAAAUUCAAGAGAAUGAAUGCAUUCAAGUUUUCCAUGAAUGCAAUGCCAGUGGCUAGGGACAGCAGUGCGCAAUAACGUGUCCUCCCAUCCUGUCCCUCCCUCUCUCUCUUCUAUUCCCUUCUGCGCAUUCAAGUAGUAGUAUCUAUCUUGCCCUCUUCCAAAUAAGAUAUCUGUAAAGAUUUAUCUGCAUGUAAGGGCUUCCAAAUCCCCACUAGUAUACAUAUAUAUGACCAUACUAAUUAAUAAAAUGUGACGUCUCACACAUGCAAGUGUUAUGCAUUUUAAUAUCUCUAUGAUGCCAUUUUAGCUGUCGACUAUUUCAUCUCACUACCAUUGUAACCUCCAACAUGGUUCACUUCACUACUACUAUACAUAUAUGAUUUUUACAAACACGUCCUAAUUUUUUGAGGGGGUGCUUAACUUAGCAAACCAUUCCUAACUAGUUCCGAGAGCAUUGUAGCUUACAAAUAAACUAUCCAUGGAAAUAUAUUUUCAGGGCCACUCUUAUAUAUCCAUUUUCAGGGGCACUCUUAUAUUUCCAUAUGGAUGAAUCUGAUGUAGGCAAGAGCAAGCUAAAGAGGGUGAAAACAGUACAUUAGAACACAAAAUACUUCUUCAGGCCAUUCACAUUUCAAUUGUUGGCUCGGCCUUUCUGUUCUGUCGUAGAUCGUUUCUCCCUUUGUGGAAGAACCAAAGUUGAUGCCAAACCGAGUGAAUUAAGCCAAUAGUGAAGCCACAAUGUGUCCACAUCUGAUUGUUAACACGCCAGAUGGAGCUAGCAGUGUACAGUACUUACAAAUGAGAUGUGUGUGUGUGUGUGUGUGUGGGUGGGGGGGGGGGGGGGGUGUUGUGGAAGGUAGUCAGCAUGAAACCAUUUUUUUGAACAAGAAAUUCAUGAUCAUAUUUAUACAAAAGAACUUUCAAAUUUGAAUGCGAUGUGUUGUACGUCUUCUAAUACAAAAUCUACUACACACUUGGCUAUCUUUUUGAUAUAAUAUCGCAAGAUUUGAAUCUUUGAAUGUGUGUGUCCAUGCUUUAUAAAAGAGAAAUAGGGAGCAAUGUGUAUGGAUAAACUUUUCAAAAACUAUACCAAAUUAGGAGAAAUUAUGUGACUUUAUCUAUGAAGAAAUAGACACCAAAAUUCACAUGAACAAGGACUUGAUUGAACCCCAGUGGUCUCUAGGCUUAUUACAUCCACACUCUCAACUAACUAGGUUAGCUACACUCUCAACUAACUAGGUUAGCUAGGAUGUUUGUAAAUGUAAUAAAAAAUGUGUAAAUAUCCUCAUUUAAGUUUAGUAGGAUGGAAUAUCUGUGCAUGCAUGCAAUUUACAUGAGCUCUCUCCCAGCAUGGAACUAUAUCUCUUUCUAAACUUAAUAAUAAAGAGUGAAAUUCUUUUCUUCAGUCUCUCACUCUCUCCUCCAUCCACCCGCCCCUCAUGUAGUCUCUCUUUUACUCACUGUCACCCUUCUUGCUUUGAGUUGGAGGUGCAAAACUUCCGUUGGUGCCACACCACUCAUGUAAUGGUCUAGCCGUCGGAGCCAUUCAUGUUGCGGCAUGCGUGUGAAUGGUGUGGUUCACUUUCCACCUUUUUAUCAACUUACUACAAGUGAAGCACACACAAUAAGGACAUAUUUAAGUUGAUUUAAUCCUCUCUGUCAUUUAUCAGACAAGAUUAAUUCCUGUUUUAUUACAACAUUAACAUUUAUAAUGGGCAUUAGAAUAUGUUGGGCUCCAAUAUAAUUAAACCCAACAAAAAUAUCUAACUCAUUAUCAUCGCCACAAAACGGCACAAUAAUUGUACAUUCCACUGCAAUGGUCAUGCUUGUUAGUAUCCCAAAGAAAGCCAAAGCUAGCAACCCUAAUUAACAUGCAACUUUUUUCUCUCCAUACAAAUUUAUAUUAACCUGCUGUUAGUUCAAAAGUUUGCAUCAACUUUUUUUUCACAUAGCUAGCCAGCUUUUACUUGUGGCAGAGCUUGUAAUUUAACUCUGUGCGCGACCACCGCCAAUUUAUUUCCCAUGGUCAGUAGUAAGACUGUAGCUAGCACUGGUGCCGUUGGUCAAAGAGGAUCACUGCAAAGCUCUGGCCGUUUUGAUGUGCACCAAUUUGUCUCUCACACGCUCCCUUUCUCUGUCGGCCCGCCUUCAUUCAUCUCUCGCUCAUUACUGCAUGCAUAUAUGCGUUGUUGCUUUCACAUACGAUCGACCAUUGGAUCGGCAGCUGCGCAUGCAUGGCUGUCCAUGAUGCUCCCUAGCCCUAGCAGCUAGCUAGCUAGCUAGCUGGCUCUAUAUAACUGGAGGAUCUAGCCAGCUCCAGCUUCCAUCCCAGUCCCAUCCUCGUCCUAGCAAACCUCAAAGACAUAGACUAUACGAACACACGGCAUUUGGCAGCUGAUAGAUCGAGUUGUGUGUGUGCGUGUGUGGGAGAUUGCCUGCGAGCUACAUACAUCAGUAUCUGCAGUAUGUCUAUCUAGCUAUAUUUCCCAGCAAUAUUUUUAGCUCAUGACAGGCUCUGCUGAUCGUUGCAUAUAUGAUUUGCAGGUAGCUAGCUAGAACAACUUCUUAGAACACAUAUAUAGCUAGCUGUCGUCGUUCUGCAGUUAGCACACACACAACCAAGCUACCUAGGAUCGAGAUAGCUAGAGGCGUUGAAUCCAUUGAUCGAAUCGCGAUCCGAUCCAUCCGAGCUAGCAUUAGCAAUAGCAUCGCCGUCCACAUGCCGCAGACACCUUCGACCCGCUGGUGCCCGACGCCGGAGCAGCUGAUGAUCCUGGAGGAGAUGUACCGGAGCGGCGUGAGGACGCCCAACGCGGCGGAGAUCCAGCAGAUCACGGCGCACCUGGCCUACUACGGCCGCAUCGAGGGCAAGAACGUCUUCUACUGGUUCCAGAACCACAAGGCCCGCGAGCGCCAGCGCCUCCGCCGCCGCCUCUGUGCCCGACACCAGCAGCAGUACGCUCAGCAGCAGCAGCAGCAGGCCACCGCAGCAGCGCCGUCUUCGAGCCCUCUUCCGUCUCCAGCAGCAGGCGGCAGCAGCGCUGGUGUGCAUCCGGCGGUGAUGCAGCUGCACCAGCACCACCACCCAUACGCAACCAACUUCGUGCCACACCUGGUUAGGAAUUUUAAUUGUUCACGUUCCAGUAUUAUUCUAGCUAAGAAUCUUCAAAGUAUCAAUUUUAAUUUUGCAGAAGCUUGCUAUAAUUGCAUGCUUGAUAAUGUAUCUAUAUGUCCAUAUGUUAAUCAAUCGAUUAUUAGGGCUACUUGGGACAGCAGGCGGCGACUGUUCCGCCAGUGCUGAACCCAGCUGCUGCCGGCAUGGUGGACCUUGCAGCUGCAGGAGCAGGAGCAGGAAAUAAGGCUACUGGUGCAGGUGGUGGCUAUGGAGGUGGAGCUGCCUUAUACAACAGCUGCAGCAGCAAUCAGCUGGAGGAGUGGGACCCCGCUGAGGCCAUGGAGCACUGCAACGCUAGCUGCGGUGCCGCAUCGGGCAGCUCCGACGAGGGUGGCGCAGCUCAUCUCCAGCUGCCGCCAUGCUGCCGCCGCCCUCUCAAGACCUUGGACCUGUUCCCCACUAAGAGCACUGGGCUCAAGGACGAGUGCAGCAGCUCCAAGUCCUCCUCUUGCUCCACAUCCACCAACUAAUUAAUCAUUAUUAUUGAAUCCCUUUAGUUUCUAUAUAUCUUGCUUCUAGUAGUUCUUUGAUUUGCUAGCUAGCUAGCUAGAGUUAGUAGAUUUGGUCUUCUCAAGUGUGCCAUUAUAUUGUUGUGUUGUGUGUGCUCGCAAAAAAAUUGUUGUGUUGUGUGUCACGCUACCUCUACUUUGCUUGUUAGUGUAACUACGUUUAAGUUUCAGUGCUCGACUUCAAUCUAUGUGUAUCUAUCUUAAUUCAUGCAAUGGAUUUGUUUUAGCAGACUGUGACCUAUAUGCUCCAUUUACUCAAUAGCGAUGAGCGAAUGAACGGAUCGGAUGACUUAUAAUAUAUGGCUAUAUAUGGUUUACCUUCUUCCUCUUCUCUAGUGAUGAUUCCUUUAUUAUUGAGAGUAUAUAAAGUCUAGUCGUUAUCUUCUCCUAAAGUUAAUUGCAAUGUGAAGGGAUGAAGACUAAGAAAUUGCCACAUCAACUCAGAUUAUUCAUGCAACUCCAUAAGCAUGCACUGGACAAUGAUUUUUUUGAGUCAAGAGUGUAUGUGAAUAAAUCCCCACACACCACAACAUUUCAAAGGAAAAAAAAGACUUGCCACUUGCAUGGGAGUGCUAAUCAUUCCUUUGAAUAAGAAAUACAUUUUAUUAGGAUGUGGGAGUUCUAAUCAUUAUUUUGAAUCAACCAUACAUCACCAAAAGCGGCAUUUCUCAAUUAUCAGGACUCAAGGAUGUAAGGAUGUGCUUCAGUCUCCCACCAAAUUUCAGAAUAUUUUGACAAAAUUUGAGUAUUCCUUCCAAAUUUUCAUAUGAUCGUAAAAUUUAUCCACAUACUUUCAAAUUUCUAAAGCUCUAAUAAUUUUAUUAAUACAAAUAUUAUUUUCGCAAUUGUUUCAAAUGAAAACAAAAUAAUGCCACUCCAUUAGCCUUGGUCGAUUUUAGUCCAUUUUGUUCCAUCCUCCGUCAUACCUUGUUUCAGCCCAUGCACCUUCUCAUUCCUUCACGGCUGAAAUGAGACAGGAGAGAGGAGGUAAAGAAAUUGGUUGAAAUCAGCACAAUGCUAAGGUAUUUUAUUUAUUUUUGAUUAAAAAUAAUUACUUCUUGAGCUCUAAAACGUAUAAGAACAUUUCAAAGUACAUUUAGGACAUGAAUAACUUGGAAAGUAUGCAUGUGCAACCAUGAUUACUAAGAAGAAUAAACAAUCCACCAUUCAUGACUCUGUUUAAUAGAUUUACAUAUCAAUGUAAAUUCUAUAAAUAAUUUAGUAAUUUAUUAUUUUUUAUGUUGCAGAAGACAUGUGUUUAUAGUUAGCACUGAUUUCUUGCAGCGACAAUUUACAUAAGAAACCAGCUCUAACUAGAAUAGGGAGCACCGUAGCUCAUGGUCACUUCAAAUCCAUUUGUAGGGGUAGUUUCUUUAAGAAAACUGUACCCUAAAAAAUAAUUUCUAGGUCUUAUGAGUGAAACAACGCUAGAAAUUUCUAGGGGUGUUUCUCUUAAUAGAACUGCCCCUAAAAAAUAAUUUAGAGGACUAGUCCAUUAUCUUAGUGAACCAUCCCUGAAAACUUCAUAUAAAUCCUCCUUUCUUCCUUGCAACAACUCUAUAUAUCACUAGGAGGCGGUGAUGCUUAAGUACUAGUUUUUUUUGACAACAUACAUGUUGAUAUUGUGGAUUGCUUGUUUUGGGAUGCCAUUUCAAUUUUUUCAGUAUCUUUUCUGUCUUAGCAGAAAGUUAGGAGAUCUUCAAUAGCAGUUGUAUGAAUAGCUAUGUUGUUAAGAAAUUGUUCCAACAAGAUGAGAUCAUCAUUCCUUCUCAAAGUUAAAGUCAAAAAUUCUCCCAGAGAGGAUAGAAAUACAUAUAAUAUUUUAGGAUCUGUUGGAUAAAGCACAACUCAUAAAAACUUACUAGAAAAGCAAGCCCAUGAGCUUGAACUUGAAAUUAUGGUUUGAACAGCACAACUCAUAGAUUAAAUUUCUAGAUUGCAUUAAGAAUUACAACUUUGGUACAGGCCAUGUUGACAUCCGAUGUUGAUUGAAAAUUCUAAACUAUAAAUUUCAAAAUUUGAGAGCUACAAACAAACUUUCUUAGACUCUAAAUAGUUUCAGUAAAAAGUUAUCAUAUAUGAAGUGGUAGAUUACGUCAAGCCCUGUAAUUUUGCUAUAAAGCUCAUCUUCAUCCAACUUCAUAUUAAAAAGUUUUAAGUUUUGUCAAACAAUAAUUUCUAAAUAUGGGCCACUUAAGAGUGCUACAUCAAUUAAUUGAUCUCUACAGCUGGCAUUAUUAGGAAGCUACUAUGUGAAAAUAACCAAUGAUAGGUGUGUGUUUGCCUAGGGACUCUAUGUACAUCUCAGUUAAUCAUGGCAUAUAUCUUCUAAAAUUACUUUGUAGUAAUGCUCGUGGUGUUGUUUCACUGAUGUUGUCUAGCAUAUGGGCUGGUUUGACCCUCUUGCAAUGGUUCAUCACUCGAGCUAGUCAUUUGUCUAGGGUGGACCAUGGAAUAUGGUGAAUUGGUGAGUGAUUUUUCUAGAUAUAAAGGAAACUUUAGUUUGAGAUGAAACAUUAUUGUGACCUCUGCUUAAGCUAGCUAUACACAACUAAAAUAAAAGAAUAAAAAUGAUAACAUGCAAGAAGAGUUUGACUCCACUAUUCUCUAAGCAAACUUAGAAUCUCAUACUCAACAUCCAGCUCAAACCACCAAUAUAACAAAUCUACAAUCUAACUUUUGAGAAAUUAAAGCUUAACAUCUUUGCAUCUAUUUGAAUGUAACAUGAAGUGAGGUGGUCAAAGUCCACAAAAGCUUUAUCAUCCUCUUGCAAAAGAAGUUGAUAUGCAUCAAAAGCAUCUCACAUGUAUAUGAAGUCCACUAGGUGUCCUCUAUUAACUAACCAACCAACAUGUAGCACAUGACUAGCAAUCACAAAUGAUGACUGAUAUGACUAGACAAAAUGAUCGUCAUUCAAUUGAGCCAUAGUUAGCUUCUUUCACAAGCCACAACAAUUUGGACUAUCUGCACAUGUGCUCAAGAUACCACUAGGAGAAGAUGUGUUGCUAAUAACACCUAAGGUCUCUCCCAAUGCAACACUUCCCUUGAGGAAAAGACAUCCAAGGAUAUCAUCAUUGCAUGACCGAUUGAAAGUUAUAGAGUUUUCUCUUAGAGACAUCCACACCCAAGUAGGAUUGUGAACACAUUAUGGAGAUGUGUCAUGUGUGUGAUGAAUGAUUGACACAAAUAUGAGAGGUUUGAGGCUUUCUUUGCUGAGUCAUAUUUCAUAUGUACUUGAUUAUGUUAAUGGUUAACCAGAGGUGUAUAGUGUGUUGUGUUUUGUUGUGCAACAUGUCUCUUGGCUUGUAAUGUGUAAGUGCUGAGAGCGCCAAGACGGUCGACAACAAUAGAGAAGGUCAAGUGUAAAGUCCAUGUGUGAUUGGUCGGGAGUGGUGAAGGACGGAUGAGAAGGCAUGGAUCAAGGGACUAGAGGCUAGAGGACAGACAAUGUGCAACUUACACUAGGCACAUGAAGAGCAAUAGUACAUGGGGAGACAACAUCAACCAAGUCAAGGAGGAGGAUGGUGUUGUGGCACUUGGCAAAGGUCAAACACGCAUCUACAUGGGUGAUGGACAUGGUGUCAGUCAAGUCAAUAAGGAAGGCAAAGGAAAGAGCUUGGCGGAGGUUGAACACAUGUUGAAAAAUCAUGGAGUCAUGCUUGGUGAGGUGUGCAUGAGGGUUUGCUAGUUUUGUCCUCAAAACUAGGGAUGGAGAGUUUGCUUGUUUGGACCUUGUUGAUAUUUCUUAACAUCAAGUUGUCAUCCCUAGCAAUGAUGCCAUAAAUGUCUUAUUGGUAUUUAUUCGUUUUCACUUGUAAUUGAGGAAACAUUAAAGUAAUCCGCAAGCACACAAAUUAUAUAUCAUUGUAGCAUUUCACCCAGGAGUAUUCCAUGUAUCGUUAUUUAUAUUUUUACCACAGGGAAUGACGGGCAAAGAAAUUAUAUUGAUAACUAAUAUUCUACUCACAACAUGGGUAAGAUAGAAAAUAAGAUAUAUAAAAGGCAAUGAUCAUUGACAAUAAAUAGUUAAUCACUCAGAGCACUCCUUUCUAUGGCAUUAGCAUGACUAAGUAGAUAUUAGAGAGACAAUUCCUAAGUCAUCCUUAAUUACAAUUCAAUGCAUAUGAUGAUUAGUGCAACUACACUUAGUAGUCAUGGAUAAGAUCAACUUUAUAUCUACACAUAAGGGAUAUUACUAAGGAAGAUUAAGAAUAGGGCAUGUCUUCCUUUGUAACUAGAUCCUACUUGUUGACCUAUAUUCGGGGAGUGGACUACAUAGGACUCAACAGGAGUGUCACAUCCGUGAUGUAAAAUAUAGGGUGUAUCCAUUGGUAAACAAUGUAUAAGCACCACGCUUACAUAAUAUCGACCACUCACACCAUGAUCAUUAGUGUGAGUGCUAUAUGAACUUAUGCUUGAAUAAAAUGAUCAUCUAGCUAUACUAAGUAUAUAAUCAAAGUAGACAAUGAACAUGAUAAUUAGGAACAUGAAUGAUAUUAAGAACAAUAUCAUACCAAUUGUAGCAAACAUAAAAAAGUAAUGAGACAUACAAAAGAGAGGGGGUACAAAGGCUAUACCAAGCCACACUCUUGACACGAUCAGGAAUCUAGGCAAAGCUUGCAUCUCUCUAGAUCUAACCUAGCUAGGUAUGCCCUAGAAUAUGGUGUAGUUUUGAGGAUUAGGGUUUCUGCCUUCUGCUUCUAACUUGAAUGGCUUGAAUGCCUGAGAGAGGGGGUAGGGGCUAUUAGAUAUACCCCAGAGCAUCAAUUCUUAGCUCUCAGAUCGUACAGACUUGAAAGAACAAUGUAGAUGCAACCUAGGAGGUGGUGGAGAACUGACAUAACAAGAUAGAGUCCGAUAGGUGGGCCUAGAGGUUGGCGAAGCUUAGAUGGGACUAGCCGACCCCACCUAGAGGUGUCUCACUAUCUUCUUUGGUGGUUUGGCUUCUGGUGUCCUCUGGAACCUUCUAGAGUUCCACCUUGACGGUUUUCUAGAUAUCCCUAUAGAAAAUACAUUCACCAAACUCUUGGAAUUUGUUAGUUUAAACCCCUAAGUCUAUGUUGGUGAUUAUUUUCAUGCAUUCUCCAAGUUAUAUUAAUAGUUUAUAAUGGUUGUUGACUACCAUCAAUAGACCUCAAAGCCAUCAGAGGAGGGUUUGCUAGUUUGGGACUCAAAACCAGGCAUGCAUGGUUGGAUGGUUUGUGCCUCAAACCAUCAGCGACGGAUUUGACUGGUUUGAGCCUCAAAAUAGGGGAGUGGAGGAUCAAUGGACAUGUGGUGGAGUCUCAAAAGCUGGCUUCAAGGCAGAGCAGAGUCGACAAGGCAUCAGGUCUAUUACUCUAUGUAAUACCCGAUUUUAAGGAUAAAACCACAUAUGCACCAUAUGCGAGUUUUAUAAGGCAAAUCUCACAUAUAGUUACAAAUAAGGGGUAAUAUCAAAAGACAAUGCAUAAAACAUAUAACGUACAUAAUAUAAAAGAGAUAACCUUUGAUAGCAAACAGCGGAUAUACAACUCUAAACUUCAGGUAUUAACUCUUCUCCACAGGAUCCAACUGACUGGUUGAUCACAAGCCCAAAACUUCUCCUGAGGUGUGGGGAAAAUUGCAAGAGUGAGCACAUAUCGUACUCAACAAGUAUAACCAGGGGUUCAUGAGGCUCAGUUAGCUGACACUGGUUUAACUGCAUUUAGCUUUUAUAUGUAGAUAGCAUAUUUAAUCAUUGGAUAGCAAAUAUCAAGGUAGCAUAUUAAAUCCCAUAACCACAUGAUCAAUGUAUACAAGAAUUAAGAAUAACACAAAUAAACAACAUAAUAAACCAUCAUUUAUUAUCAUUAAUCAUGUUCAUCAGUGUCCAUCUAUUCCGUCAGUUUUCCGGGCCGCCCGUAUCCGUGGGCACGACUAGUAUACCAGAUUUAACACUCUUCAGAGGUUGUACAUCUUUACCCAUGAGUCAUGAUUUACCCUUUCGCCCGAGGCCCGUCGACCUCUUAGCUCACUUUCAAGGAAAGCCGGCAGGGUUCACUAUGAAGUCUUUCAAAGGUUCGUCUAACAAGUUAGGACCGCAAGGUUUCCUUUGCGCGCAAAUAUAGAUACCCCCCUUCCAAAUGGCACAAUGACGCGCAGCCUAUACACAUAAGGACAGGGGCUCGCACUAUACCCAAAACGGUUCAGCCCCUCCGCCCUUUCGGGUAACCUCUAACAAGCUAGAAAAGCUUACUCAUACUUGACUAAAGCCAGAGCCAUAUAGCCCUCAUGGUUGUACGAGUUGUCUCAGCUUUUGCCAAGGGAUAAGUCCUUAUGGAGGGUCAAGAUCAAUCCAGCAAAAGCCAGAGUUCUUUCCACCCUUUAUGUUCAAGUUGCUAGAAAGCUUAUUUUAUCGUUUAUGGUAUAUUCAAAUAUUCAUGUUACAAGAUCAUGGAUUAAUAAUCAAGCACUAGCAAGAACUACCCAAAUACAUAUCCAAAUAGGUAACAAGGAAUUCAUGAUAAUAAUCAUCUAUGAUUUUACUAGGGUCAUCAAGGUGGACACAUGCAUAUGAUAAAUGUUAUAUUAAUUGUGUAUAGGUAACAAGGAUAGUCCCAAGUUAUACUUGUCUUGAUCAAAGCUCUCCUGAGCCUGCUGCUGGUCGUCAAAAGCUUGACCUUGAUCACCAACUUAUCACUCACCGUCUAUACUCGAUCAUCGAUCAACAACACGCAAUCCAAUGUAGACAAUCAUACACGAAGCAAACAAGCUAUAAUUAGAACAAUACACCAAACAUUGGUAAAAUAAAUAUAAAAGUUUACCAAAAUAUUCUACGCAGCGCUACGAUCACACAAACAUAAAGUUCACGAAAAUCGGAAUUAAAACGGUGAAGUUAUGAAUUUUCCAGGAUUUUCUAUAGAUAAAUAAUUAAUUAAAUGCUACUGCAAAAUUAAAAAGUUUCAAAAUAGAGAAUAAAUACUUCUAACAUGUAGAGCUCGUAAAUACGCGAAAUUUGAAUGGAUGAAAACGGAGUUAAAAUGAGUAUUUUAUGACCAAAUCAAUUUCAAUGGCAAAACUGUAAAUAACAGAAAACGUAAUCUGCCUAAGCCGAACCAGAAUACGUUUUUAAACGGAGAAAGCGUAUUCUGCGCAAGCCGCCAAGGACUGCGGAGUAAAUACUGAAAAGUUUCAGGGAUUCUUUAUGAAGUUUCGCAGCGAAGGGGUAUGCUUUGUUUUGGGCCCUUGAUCCCAAAACGGAUGGCUGGCAGACGAUCUGGGGAAGAGAGGGGGGGGGGGCGGCGACGACUGGCCGGAACAGUCUUCCACGGCGGCGCCAUUGGAGCGCCUCGCCGGAGCUCGCGCUGAGGCAAUUUCUAGCACCAGGGAACAAGGGAAAAGCAUCAGGGGGUGGAGGAGCUCACCACGAAUCCUCCUAGGGACUUCACUUGGGCCGAGAGGGAGCAGGGAGAGCUCACCGCGGCGCCGUUUGGAUUAGAGCUCAGCGAGAUCUAACUGAGCGUCGGGAAGGAGCUAAAACCGAUCUCGGUCCUUUGUAGAUGGAAAAAGGAAUGCGUUGAGGGAAAGCCAAGGCUAAAUAGGGCUCGGGAAAAUCAAAUCCCAUGGAAACCGGGAUUUGAGGCAGAGCCUUCUUCGGCUUGGAGCCUUGGAGUCCCAGCCGCCCACGGUUCACGGAAGAAGAAAAGGGAAUGGAGGAGGAAGACGAUGUCGCGUGGGGCCCAGUCGUCAGCGAGAGAGAGAGCGGGUCCCAGUUGACAGCGGAACAGAGGAAAGGUGUAACACCCAAAAUUUGAUUUUCAAAUAAUAGGAUUUAAUUUAAUUUAUUUAAGUACUUUUGUGGGCAUAGAAAUCUAGCAACUAAAUAAUUGUGUGGGAAUUAAAAUUCAGUAUAGGUUUAGCAACCUUGAUUGAGCAUUCAUGCUGGAGCAUCUUUAUUUAUUUGUGCUGCUGGUAUAUGUUGGAUUUUAUUUGCUCUCAAAAUUUGAUUUUAAAAGGCUUUGGAAAAUUAAAAAAAAAAGAAAAAAAAAACAGCCGGACUCGGCUUGGUGGCCAAUUGGCCGUGAGGCCCAAACUGGCCAGCAGCGCGCGCACUCCCUCCCUCUCCCUCCUUUCUUUGGCUGACGGUUGGGGCCCCCACGUCAGCGCCCUUUCCUUCUUCCUCCCUGCCGUGCUCGAGCAGGAAACGAUUCCUCACCGAAUCGGAUCCGCGGAUCCCGCGAUUUCCUUGCCAAGCGCGCAAUCCGACCACUAUAAAGCUUCUAGCAUCGCUCCCUCGACAUGUUUUCGCAUCUAGGUCGCCAAAACCGAGUCCCCGUGCCUUGUUUCGCGAGUUCUGGAUCUCGCCGGGAGCUCUUUCCGCCGCCGCGCGUGGACACGCCCCUCUGCUAGCUCUCGGCCCGAGCCAAGCCCCCAGCUUCGUUCGCGGUGAGCUUCUCGCCCUCCCGGUAUUUUCCUUUCAAAAAACGGUGCUCGGAAAGGAGAAGCCGAGGAGCUCCGGCGAGUUUUCGCUCUCCGGCCAUGGCGGCCACCGCAUCGGACAGGGAGAGGCCAGCCGGCCACCGCCAAGGACCCCAGGAGCAGCUCGUGACCAUCCAACCGACGAUCAACGGCCGAGAUUAGAACAUACCUGUUCGCAGGGAAUUUUCAUAAAGAGUCCCUGGAAAGAGUGGUUAAUUACCCCGCGGUCCCUGGCGCCCUGGCACAGAUUACGUUUCCUUUGAUUGAAAGCGUAUUCCUGUCUGUUCAACUUGGUUUAUGUUUUCAGCUAAUUACAGAACUGCCACUGAACUUAGAUAGCUUAUAAAAUAUUCAUUUUAACUCUGUUUUUGUCCAUUCAAAUUGCGUUAGGUUCGUAAUUAUAUGCUCUACAUGAUAGAACUAUUUAUUCUCUGUUUUGAAACUUUUUAAUUUUCUGGUACUAUUUAAUUAAUUAUUUCUCUAUAGGAAAUCUUAGAAAAUUCAUAUCUUUCACGUUUUAAUUCCGAUUUUCGUGAACUUUACGUUUGUGUGAUCGUAGCGCUGCGUAGAAUAUUUUGAUAAACUUUUAUAUUUGUUUUACCACUGUUUGGUGUAAUGUUCUAAUUAUACCUUGUUUGCUUUGUGUAUGAUUGUCUCCAUUGGAUUGCGUGUUGUUGAUUGAUGUUUGGGAAUAGACGGUGAGCUGUACGUUGGUGAUCAAGACCAAGCUUUUGAGGACCAGCAGGCUCAGGAGAGCUUUGAGCAAGGCAAGUAUAACUUGGGACCAUCCUUGUUACCUAUUCACUUAUAACUACAUAUAUAUAUCAUAUGCAUGCUACCACCUUGAUGACCGUAGCAAAAUCAUAGCUGAUUGUUAUCCUGAAUUCCUUGUUACCUAUUUGGAUAUGCAUUUGGGUAGUUCUUGCUAGUGCUUGAUUAAUAAUCCAUGAUCUUGUAACAUGAAUAUUUGAAUAUACAAUAAACAAUAAAGUAAGCUUUCUAGCAACUUGAAUAUAAAGGGUGGAAAGAACUCUAGCUUUUGCUGGAUUGAUCUUGACCCUCCAUAAGGACUUAUCCCUUGGCAAAAGCUGGGACAACUCGUACAACCAUGAGGGCUAUAUGGCUCUGGCUUUAGUCAAGUAUGAGUAAGCUUUUCUAGCUUGUUAGAGGUUACCCGAAAGGGCGGAGGGGCUGAACCGUUUUGGGUAUAGUGCGAGCCCCUGUCCUUAUGUGUAUAGGCUGCGCGUCAUUGUGCCAUUCGGAAGGGGGGUAUCUAUAUCUGCGCGCAAAGGAAACCUUGCGGCCCUAACUUGUUAGACGAACCUUUGAAAGACUUCAUAGUGAACCCUGCCGGCUUUCCUUGGAAGUGAGCUAAGAGGUCGACGGGCCUCGGGCGAAAGGGUAAAUCAUGACUCAUGGGUAAAGAUGUACAACCUCUGCAGAGUGUUAAAUCUGGUAUACUAGCCGUGCCCACGGAUACGGGCGGCCCGGAAAACUGACGGAAUAGAUGGACACUAAUGAAUAUGACUAAUGAUAAUAAAUGAUGGUUUAUUAUGUUGUUUAUAUGUGUUAUUCUUAAUUCUUGUAUACAUUGAUCAUGUGGUUAUGGGAUUUAAUUAUGCUACCUUGACAUUUGCUAUCCAAUGAUUAAAUAUGCUAUCAACUAUUAAAAGCUAAAUGCAGUCAAACCAGUGUCAGCUAUUUGAGCCUCAUGAACCCCUGGUUAUACUUGUUGAGUACGAUAUGUGCUCACUCUUGCAAUUUCCCAACACCUCAGGAUAUGAUAAUGAAGGUGACUGGAAUGAGGAUUAUCGUUAUGAGUACUAGGUUUGGAGUCAACCAGUCAACAGUGUCCCUGUGUGGAGCUUCCGUCGAGAGCGUUGUUUAAUAUUAUUAUCAUUUUUGUGUAAGACUAUGUGAUUUAUUAUGUUCCGCUAUGUAAUAAACACUGCAAUGGUACAAUUGAGAUUUGUCUACUUAUGUGUGCGACUAUUCCUGGGGCACAUAUGAGUCUUUUAUGCAUCCUAUUUUGUUCUUAAAAUAUGGGUGUGACAAAUUGGUAUCAAAGCUUUGUUGACUGUAGGACGCAAACCUAGUUAGCAAAGGGUCAAAAAUUUAGGUCCUUACUUUACUUACUUCAUGCUUCCCACUAUGGUCUUGUUAUUUGCUAAAAGUUUAUGCUUCUCUAUCUUGCUCUAUUGUGAAAUUAUUGCAUCCAUCUGAUCUAUGUCUAAAAACUUUUUGUAGAUGCCGCCUCGUACCCGCAGUGCUGCACGCAUGGCUGCUGAGGAGUACCGUGCCAUGUUCAACCUAGGAGGACAACGUGUGGAUGGAGUUCCUGAGCUGGAGGAUGAGGAAUCAAGGGUGGAAGCUCAGGAGGAAGGACCUGAGGAUGAGGAGAUGCAAGAUCUACCUCCACCACAGUCUGCUAAUGCAAGGAUGGGAUGGACUACUGAGCUGUGGAUUCCAGAAGCAGAUCCCAAGGCCUUCUUCCAUGAGAAUUUGGUGUUAACAUUGAAACACCAUUACCCGGAUUUGCAAGCCACACUGGAGUAUAACUGCACUGAGCACAAACACCCGCUGAGGAGAUCACUUUGGGUUGCAGAGCUGAUAGUCAAGACACUGGAUGCCACCAAGGGGAUUCGAAAGGUGGAAUCAAAACACAUCGCUCGAAUCAGCCGGGACACGAUGAGAGAGAGCAUGGCAGAUGCAGCUUACCAGGCCUUGGUCUUUUACCGUGGUAGACGUUUUGAGGAUGUUCAGUAUAAUGCAACAUACCACUAUCCUCGCUUUGUACCAGAGAAGAUGACUUGGGCCAUAGAAGUUGCAGAUGCUUCACAACCAAAGCUUCAAGCACAAGUGGAGUUGACUUAUGAGCUGACACUCAAGGUGAUAGAGUUGGAGAAUGAACUACACCGUGAGAGGAAGCUGUUGGAGAAAGAGCAAAGGGAAGCGGAUGACCUUCGAGCGGAGUUAGGCCGCCCCAAACUUCAUAAGAGGCUGCAUGUUGAACCCAUCUUGAAGGAUGCUGCACCCGAGGAAUAGAAAAGAACCCAUAUGUAAUAGGAACGUUAGUAGUUUACGAGUAUUUCGAGUCUUUUGCUAUUGUGGCAUGAACUUGGUGUGCUUGCUGAUUUGUUAUUAUGAAUAUGUGUGAUUUGGAUUUUUGUAAUGAGUGCUGGGACUUUGUGGGCAUGUCCACAAGUUCCCUAGUUAAGAACCUUAAGUAAGAACAUGAAUAAAUAGUGGGUUGGGGUCAUAUCCUGUUUCUGUCUUUUGCUGUUUUCUGGAGCAGUCUGCAAUGAUUCUGGAAUAAAUCAAAUUCUGCUCGUGCAAUGUUCAUCAAAUUUUUCUGGGAAAAAGUAGACUUUCAUAUAUUUCCAAUGCCGCCAGAAUGACCAUAUUAUCUAUUAUGAGCUGUGAGUUAUGACUGUUUAAAGUUGAGGUUUCUGCGCAGUCUGGAAUUCUGGAACAGUUUCGGUUGUACCCAGUUUUUGGUUAACCUCACGUUGGAAUCUGGUAAUAUGACCUAAAUGAAAGUUGUAGACAAUUUCUUUAUCUUUCCAACGAUGUACAGCAUGUAUCCUUUUGAAUUCUGGAACUCGAGAUAUUACUGAUUUUCUGAUCUGCUGAUGUUGGAUGUUACCCAGAAAAUUUCAGACUCAGUUAACUCUUGUAAUUGUCAUGUUGGACAUUACUAAGAUGUGUUUAUAUACCUUGGAAUGCAGAUGGCAGCAAGGGGAAGAGGCAGAGGCAGAGGCCGUGGCAAUGGCAAUGACAAUGGCAAUGGUGGCAAUGCCCCAAUCACCGUGGAGGAACUCAUGCAAACCCAAAAUCAGAUGAUGCACGUUUUCAUGCAGCACCUGCAGCAACAACCUCCACCAACACCACCACCUGUUCAUGUGAGGGACAAGCGUGGAGAGUUUAUGAAGGGAAGACCUCCGGUAUUUACACACUCAGCUGAUCCCAUGGAGGCAGAUGAUUGGUUACGUGCUGUGGAGAGGCAGCUAAACAUAGCACAGUGCAAUGACUUGGAGAAGGUGUUGUAUGCUUCUGGACAGCUUCAAGGUGCAGCUCAGACAUGGUGGGAGUCGUAUCAAGCUGCUCGUCCCAACAAUGCUCCUCCUGUCACAUGGCUGGAAUUCUGUAGGGACUUCAGAGCUCGACACAUAAAUGAGGGAAUGAUGGAGCUCAAACAGGAAGAAUUCAGAUCACUCCGGAUGGGCUCCAUGACAGUGGCAGAAUAUCAUGACACGUUUGAACAGUUGGCUCGCUAUGCCCCGAAUGAAGUCAGGGAAGAUGCUGAUAAGCAACGCUUGUUCAUGAAAGGCUUGUACUAUGAACUCAGGUUGCAGUUGGCAGGAAACACUUAUCCUACCUUUCAAGCUCUUGUGAAUCGUGCUAUCGUGCUUGAUAAUAUGCGGAAGAGUCAGGAUAAGAAGAGAAGGAUGCUGGUACAAGGAUCUGGGAGCAACAACCGUCAGCGUUUCAGUUCUCAUCAAGGCCAUCAGCAGAGGUUCCAGGGACCAGUUAGUCAGUGGAACCGUAACCAGCAACCCCAGCGUUUCCAGAAUCAGUCGCAGAGUGGGAACCAACGUCCUUCAUUCCAACAACGUAACUACAAUCAACAGCAGCAUGGUCAGCAGACACCUCGCUCAGGAAACUCAAAUGCCAACUCCACAAAAAGAAGUGCUUCUAACACUCCUACCAGGUGUUUCCGUUGUGGGAAAGAGGGACACAUGUCAUAUGAUUGCCCGGAGAAGCUCAACAAGCCGAACAACAACCAGAAGUCUACUGCUUAUGCGGCAACAGUGAAUAAUGUGGCUACAGAGACAGUUCAGGAGGGACCAGAGAUCAUGAUGGGUACGUUCAGCAUCAACUCUAUCCCUGCUACAGUUUUAUUUGAUUCUGGAGCUUCGCAUACAUUCAUAUCACAAGCAUUUGUUAGAGUUCAUAGCCUUCCACUAGUUGCAAUGAAAACUCCUAUGCUAGUUAAUUCACCGGGUGGGACUAUACCAGUUUCUUUAUGUUGCCCCUCAGCAAGUCUUUCUUUAAGGGGGGUAGAUUUUCCUAUCAGUCCCAUGGUUAUGAGAACUUCAGGCAUAGAUGUGAUCUUGGGUUUGGAUUGGAUGAAGCAACAUGAAACAAAUAUUAAUUGCAAAGAGAGAGUAGUGGCUCUGACAACACCAAAGGGAGAACGAAUCAGUGUUAAUGUAACAGUGCAAGCACCACUCACAGCCAAGGUGAACCAACUGAAUGAAGAUGUUGAUCCUCAGAAUUUGGUAGUGGAUGAGUUUCCGGAUGUCUUUCCAGAUGAAUUGCCAGGUAUGCCACCUGACCGAGACAUUGAAUUUAUUAUUGAAUUACUACCUGGUACUGCACCCAUAGCUAAAAGACCAUAUAGAAUGGGGGUUAAUGAACUAGAAGAACUUAAGAAACAAAUUAAGGAAUUGCAAGAUAAAGGGUUCAUUCGCCCUAGUUCAUCACCAUGGGGUGCACCAGUUAUCUUUGUUGAUAAGAAGGAUGGUAGUCAGCGGAUGUGUGUGGAUUAUCGGUCACUUAAUGAGGUUACUAUCAAGAACAAAUACCCAUUGCCUAGGAUUGAUGACUUGUUUGAUCAACUAAGAGGUGCUUGUGUGUUCUCUAAGAUUGAUUUGCGUUCUGGUUAUCAUCAAUUGAAGAUUCGGAAUUCAGAUAUACCAAAGACAGCUUUCACAACAAGGUAUGGGUUAUAUGAGUAUACAGUUAUGUCUUUUGGUUUGACCAAUGCACCAGCUUACUUUAUGUACAUGAUGAAUAAAGUAUUUAUGGAGUAUCUUGAUAAGUUCGUGGUGGUCUUUAUUGAUGAUAUUCUGGUAUUCUCUAAAACCAAGGAAGAACAUGCUGAACAUCUGAGAUUGGUCUUACAGAAACUUAGAGAACAUAAGCUGUAUGCUAAGCGUAGUAAAUGCGAGUUUUGGUUGGAGGAAGUUUCUUUUCUUGGUCAUGUUGUCUCUAAUGGUGGUAUUGCAGUGGAUCCUAGUAAGGUGAAAGAUGUGUUGAAUUGGAAACCACCUACAGAUGUAAGCGAAAUUCGCAGUUUUCUUGGUCUAGCUGGUUACUAUCGUAGAUUCAUUGAAGGGUUCUCAAAACUUGCAAAGCCUAUGACUGCUUUGUUAGAGAAGAAUGCUAAGUUUGUAUGGUCUGAUAAGUGUCAAGCUAGUUUUGAGGAGUUUAAGAAGAGAUUGACUACUGCACCUGUGUUGGUAUUGCCAGAUCUGAGUAAGAGUUUCUCUAUCUAUUGUGAUGCUUCUCGUCUGGGUUUGGGUUGUGUUCUUAUGCAAGAAGGUAGAGUUGUUGCUUAUGCAUCCAGACAGUUGAGGAAACAUGAACUGAAUUAUCCUACUCAUGAUUUGGAGUUAGCAGCUGUGGUUCAUGCACUCAAGAUUUGGAGACACUAUUUGAUUGGGCAUAAAAGUGACAUAUAUACUGAUCAUAAGAGUUUGAAGUAUAUCUUCACCCAGACCGACUUGAACUUGAGGCAACGAAGAUGGUUGGAACUGAUAAAGGAUUAUGAUUUGGAAGUGCAUUAUCAUCCUGGGAAGGCGAACGUCGUAGCCGAUGCACUUAGCAGAAAGAAACAUGCUAAUGAGCUUCGGGCGACACCUGAAUCUGAAGAGUUGUGUGCUGAAUUUGCAUAUUUGAACUUGGGAAUCGUAGUAAAUGCUAUGGAGAUUGAGGUCACUCCUACUCUAGAGGAAGAGAUAUUGAAAGGACAGUUGGAAGAUGAGAAACUGAAGGAGAUAGCACAGAAUGUGGUACUAGGAAAAGCACCAGGAUUCAGAAUAGAUGACAAUGGUGUACUAUGGUUUGGAAAAAGGAUAUGCGUUCCAGAAGUGAAGGCUAUUCGUGAUAUGAUUCUGAGAGAGGCUCAUGAGUCAGCAUAUUCCAUUCAUCCUGGUAGUACUAAGAUGUAUCUAGAUCUGAAACAGAAGUACUGGUGGUAUGGCUUAAAGAGAGAUGUGGCCGAAUAUGUUGCUUUGUGUGAUACUUGUCAGCGAGUGAAGGCUGAACACCAGAGGCCAGCUGGACUAUUGCAACCAAUGAAGAUUCCUGAGUGGAAGUGGGAAGAAGUAGGCAUGGAUUUUAUAGUGGGUUUACCUCGUACACAGAGAGGAUAUGAUUCAAUAUGGGUAAUAGUGGAUCGAUUGACUAAAGUUGCUCACUUCUUGCCAGUCAAAACCACUAAUUCAGGAGCUCGACUAGCAGAGUUGUAUAUGGAGCGGAUAGUUUGUUUGCAUGGAGUGCCUAAGAAGAUUGUAUCUGAUAGAGGCACUCAGUUUACCUCUAUUUUUUGGAAAGCAGUGCAUGACUCAUUGGGAACCAAGUUGAAUUUCAGUACCGCGUAUCAUCCACAGACAGAUGGACAGACUGAGAGGAUCAAUCAGAUAUUGGAAGAUAUGUUGAGAGCUUGUGCCUUGCAGUAUGGGACUAGUUGGGAUAAGAGUUUGCCAUAUGCAGAAUUCUCCUACAACAACAGCUAUCAACAAAGUCUUAAGAUGGCACCGUUCGAGGCACUAUAUGGUCGGAAGUGCAGGACACCUUUGUUUUGGAAUCAGACAGGAGAAACUCAGGUGUUUGGUACGGAUGUGCUUAGACAUGCAGAACAACAAGUGCGAACCAUCCGGGAUAAUCUGAGAGUUGCUCAGUCUCGUCAGAAAAGUUAUGCAGAUACACGUAGGAGAGAACUAGCUUUCGAGGAAGGUGAUUAUGUCUAUCUAAAAGUGUCACCUAUGCGGAGUGUGAAGAGGUUUAAUAUGAAGGGAAAGCUAGCUCCAAGGUAUGUUGGUCCGUUUAAAGUUUUGCAAAGGUGUGGAGAAGUAGCGUAUCAGUUAGAGUUGCCUGAAAGUUUAUCUGGCGUGCACGAUGUGUUCCAUGUGUCACAACUCAAGAAGUGUUUGCGUGUACCUGAGGAGCAAUUACCAUUGGAAGAACUUUCUGUUAAAGGUGAUCUCACUUAUGAGGAGUAUCCGGUCAAAAUAUUGGAGACAGCUGAGAGAGUCACCAGAAGUCGGGUCAUCAGAAUGUGCAAAGUACAGUGGAAUCGACAUUCGGAAGCAGAGGCAACUUGGGAAAGAGAGGAUGAUCUGAGGAAGUCAUACUCAUAUCUAUUCGAGUAAGCACCGUUCAAUCUCGAGGACGAGAUUCUUUUAAGGGGGGUAGAGUUUGUAACACCCAAAAUUUGAUUUUCAAAUAAUAGGAUUUAAUUUAAUUUAUUUAAGUACUUUUGUGGGCAUAGAAAUCUAGCAACUAAAUAAUUGUGUGGGAAUUAAAAUUCAGUAUAGGUUUAGCAACCUUGAUUGAGCAUUCAUGCUGGAGCAUCUUUAUUUAUUUGUGCUGCUGGUAUAUGUUGGAUUUUAUUUGCUCUCAAAAUUUGAUUUUAAAAGGCUUUGGAAAAUUAAAAAAAAAAAGAAAAAAAAAACAGCCGGACUCGGCUUGGUGGCCAAUUGGCCGUGAGGCCCAAACUGGCCAGCAGCGCGCGCACUCCCUCCCUCUCCCUCCUUUCUUUGGCUGACGGUUGGGGCCCCCACGUCAGCGCCCUUUCCUUCUUCCUCCCUGCCGUGCUCGAGCAGGAAACGAUUCCUCACCGAAUCGGAUCCGCGGAUCCCGCGAUUUCCUUGCCAAGCGCGCAAUCCGACCACUAUAAAGCUUCUAGCAUCGCUCCCUCGACAUGUUUUCGCAUCUAGGUCGCCAAAACCGAGUCCCCGUGCCUUGUUUCGCGAGUUCUGGAUCUCGCCGGGAGCUCUUUCCGCCGCCGCGCGUGGACACGCCCCUCUGCUAGCUCUCGGCCCGAGCCAAGCCCCCAGCUUCGUUCGCGGUGAGCUUCUCGCCCUCCCGGUAUUUUCCUUUCAAAAAACGGUGCUCGGAAAGGAGAAGCCGAGGAGCUCCGGCGAGUUUUCGCUCUCCGGCCAUGGCGGCCACCGCAUCGGACAGGGAGAGGCCAGCCGGCCACCGCCAAGGACCCCAGGAGCAGCUCGUGACCAUCCAACCGACGAUCAACGGCCGAGAUUAGAACAUACCUGUUCGCAGGGAAUUUUCAUAAAGAGUCCCUGGAAAGAGUGGUUAAUUACCCCGCGGUCCCUGGCGCCCUGGCACAGAUUACGUUUCCUUUGAUUGAAAGCGUAUUCCUGUCUGUUCAACUUGGUUUAUGUUUUCAGCUAAUUACAGAACUGCCACUGAACUUAGAUAGCUUAUAAAAUAUUCAUUUUAACUCUGUUUUUGUCCAUUCAAAUUGCGUUAGGUUCAUAAUUAUAUGCUCUACAUGAUAGAACUAUUUAUUCUCUGUUUUGAAACUUUUUAAUUUUCUGGUACUAUUUAAUUAAUUAUUUCUCUAUAGGAAAUCUUAGAAAAUUCAUAUCUUUCACGUUUUAAUUCCGAUUUUCGUGAACUUUACGUUUGUGUGAUCGUAGCGCUGCGUAGAAUAUUUUGAUAAACUUUUAUAUUUGUUUUACCACUGUUUGGUGUAAUGUUCUAAUUAUACCUUGUUUGCUUUGUGUAUGAUUGUCUCCAUUGGAUUGCGUGUUGUUGAUUGAUGUUUGGGAAUAGACGGUGAGCUGUACGUUGGUGAUCAAGACCAAGCUUUUGAGGACCAGCAGGCUCAGGAGAGCUUUGAGCAAGGCAAGUAUAACUUGGGACCAUCCUUGUUACCUAUUCACUUAUAACUACAUAUAUAUAUCAUAUGCAUGCUACCACCUUGAUGACCGUAGCAAAAUCAUAGCUGAUUGUUAUCCUGAAUUCCUUGUUACCUAUUUGGAUAUGCAUUUGGGUAGUUCUUGCUAGUGCUUGAUUAAUAAUCCAUGAUCUUGUAACAUGAAUAUUUGAAUAUACAAUAAACAAUAAAGUAAGCUUUCUAGCAACUUGAAUAUAAAGGGUGGAAAGAACUCUAGCUUUUGCUGGAUUGAUCUUGACCCUCCAUAAGGACUUAUCCCUUGGCAAAAGCUGGGACAACUCGUACAACCAUGAGGGCUAUAUGGCUCUGGCUUUAGUCAAGUAUGAGUAAGCUUUUCUAGCUUGUUAGAGGUUACCCGAAAGGGCGGAGGGGCUGAACCGUUUUGGGUAUAGUGCGAGCCCCUGUCCUUAUGUGUAUAGGCUGCGCGUCAUUGUGCCAUUCGGAAGGGGGGUAUCUAUAUCUGCGCGCAAAGGAAACCUUGCGGCCCUAACUUGUUAGACGAACCUUUGAAAGACUUCAUAGUGAACCCUGCCGGCUUUCCUUGGAAGUGAGCUAAGAGGUCGACGGGCCUCGGGCGAAAGGGUAAAUCAUGACUCAUGGGUAAAGAUGUACAACCUCUGCAGAGUGUUAAAUCUGGUAUACUAGCCGUGCCCACGGAUACGGGCGGCCCGGAAAACUGACGGAAUAGAUGGACACUAAUGAAUAUGACUAAUGAUAAUAAAUGAUGGUUUAUUAUGUUGUUUAUAUGUGUUAUUCUUAAUUCUUGUAUACAUUGAUCAUGUGGUUAUGGGAUUUAAUUAUGCUACCUUGACAUUUGCUAUCCAAUGAUUAAAUAUGCUAUCAACUAUUAAAAGCUAAAUGCAGUCAAACCAGUGUCAGCUAUUUGAGCCUCAUGAACCCCUGGUUAUACUUGUUGAGUACGAUAUGUGCUCACUCUUGCAAUUUCCCAACACCUCAGGAUAUGAUAAUGAAGGUGACUGGAAUGAGGAUUAUCGUUAUGAGUACUAGGUUUGGAGUCAACCAGUCAACAGUGUCCCUGUGUGGAGCUUCCGUCGAGAGCGUUGUUUAAUAUUAUUAUCAUUUUUGUGUAAGACUAUGUGAUUUAUUAUGUUCCGCUAUGUAAUAAACACUGCAAUGGUACAAUUGAGAUUUGUCUACUUAUGUGUGCGACUAUUCCUGGGGCACAUAUGAGUCUUUUAUGCAUCCUAUUUUGUUCUUAAAAUAUGGGUGUGACAAAAGGAGGGGGGGGGGGGGGCGGCGCCGGAGCUGGGCCGGGGUGCGAUCGAAAAGAAAAAAGAAAAAGGGGAGAGAAGCUGGGCCGCACGUGCUGGGCCUGAGAGGGGAAACUGGGCUGCGGGUGGGAGGAUGGGGUGGCGCCAAACAGAAGGGGUUUUAAUUCGCUUCUUUUUUUAUUCUUUUAUUUCAAAGCUAUUUCAAAACAGUUUAAAACAAUUUUGAACUUUGCUCAAAAUCACACAGUACAAAAAUAUAAAUGCUCCAGCAUGGGUGCACAUACAUGUUACUAAAUCCUAUAAUGAGUUUUGAUUUAAUGAAAUAUUAUUUUUCCUAUAUUUUCAUGAGCACAAACAUACCCAAUUAAAUCAUUUUUCACCUAAUUUAAAAAGAGCAAAUUUUUAGGGUGUUACAAAUCUACCCCCUUAAAAUGAAUCUCGUCCUCGAGAUUCGGAAGAGGCACGGAUUCCAAAAGAGAAGCAUAAACAAGAUAUUGAUCACUAUUUCAACUUCACAACUUGUAUUCCAAAUGCAAGCACUUAUGUCUCGGGAUCACAACUUGUAAAUCAAGGUUUUCCGCAGAAUGUCUAUUAUUCAUAACUGAUUAAAGUCCAUCUUGACUACCAACUUUUUGUCUUACAACUCAAAGACAUGAUAACUUAGCAUGGAUAUGCCUCCUCAGGUAGGAGCGGACCACCUUGAUACUCAAUUCUUUACCCUGAUGGUGUGGUUAAGAAAAGUUUCCACUAGGUAGCAUAGAUCACUCCUUUGUGCGCACAUAACCAUCCAUUGACAAGAACCAAAGGAAUGUCGAGUGACUCUAGCACAAUGAGGUUUACAGUAAAGUUUUCCUUUUACACUUCCUUCGUUGUGGAUUCAGAUUUGAUUCAAUGUCAACUUGCUCUUCUAUAUUGUUAUUUUGAUAGUACUCAGCAUUGUCAUAAUCAUAACAUCUUUCUUCAAAGACAAGAUGAUCAUACUCUUCCCACAUAUCCAUGAGAGGUGUCAUAUUGUGGUCCUAAUCCAUGGGACACUACACUCCCCGUGACCAAUGUCAGUAACUCAGCAUAAAUCGUUGAUCGUAACCAUAGAAUAUCUCAGAAGACAAUUAUCACUUCAAAAUGCAUCAUCCUAUGAUAUCAGGGUACUACCCCCUUAAAAUGAGAUUGAUUGGGCACUACAAGAAAUGUAUGAUUUUUUGACAUAUUUAGUAUGACAAUAGACCGUGAUGUCAUUAUAUCAUCCAGAUUAUGACAUUAUGUAAUAGGCAUUUUGACCUAGUGACAUAAAAAAGUUGGAUGUCAUAAUAAAUGUCAUAGAACUAUUCUAAUUCCAUACCAUGUCUUUGCCACGUCAGCAUUAUCUUACGUGGCAUUUGCCAAAAUAGCACAAAAGAGACACCUUAUUCAGUGACUCGAAAUUGAAACACGUCACUAAUGUAAGAGCGAUGACGCAGAUAAAUAAAACAAGUCACUAGUUGGGAGUCAUCCCUGGCUAACAGACAAAAUGCAUGAUGCGUUCACAGCAACACGAGUCGCUGAUAAAGCAGGAUUGUUGGCAGUGACGCGUUCCUGCAACUCGUGUCUCAUAUCACCCUUCAUGGACCCGAAAAAAUAAUGAAAUCCGGUUAAAUGGUGGAAACUGAAGUCCGACACACCUUCCUCUCCCUCGCGUCUCUUCUCGGGCCAUCACCCUUUCUGGCCUUCUCUCUACUGCACCACAACACUAAUAUAGCGUCACACGUGUGUCGUUAUAAGUUCACUAAUACCAAUAAACUGUUGGCCGUUAUAGCUGGCCCACAGAUCAAAUGUCGGUAAAUGUAUCUAUUGCGUUAAACCAUCUGUCGAUAUAAAUAUUUGGCUGUAUAGUUGAACCAUCGGUCGAGAUAGAUAAACAAAGAGAACGAACAUUCGGUCAGUAUAGAGUGAUGCGUGCUUUGAAAAAGAAAAAAAGACAUGUUCCCUUUCAUGAGAAAAUAAAGAUGGGCCUUCAUGCUACCAGCCCAACUGAACACGACUCCCUCAACCCUAACCCCUAACCCCCACAUCCAGACUCCCCUCAGCCGCCACCCCACACCUCUCUCCGUCUCUUCUCUCGCCUCAAUACCACAGCUGCCGCUGCCGCUGCCGCUUGGCCUCUCUCCACCAUCGCCGGCCUUCUCCCGGCCUCCCUCUCGCUGAGCCUCCUCCUCGCCACCCUCGAACCGCCCUCCCCUUUCCCCUGCAAACCCUGCUCCUCCGCCCCUGCUUCCUCGUCGCCGCGGCGCACAUGCCGUCUCUCCAUGUUGUGCGCAUGUGUCCAUCCUAGUGCUUGGUGCAGCGGCUGUCUUCUUCGAGCACAUCCGCAAGAUCAGAUGCAUGCACUCGUAAGUCAGCUUCUGUGUUCCCGUGGUCAGGCGUUGGCGGCCAGAUCUACGGUAGCUCGGGCGAGGGCGGCCGGAUCCAUGGUGCCAUCUCCUGCGCCCCCCCACCAUGCCUUUGCGUUCAUCUCCAUGGCAGCAGAAGGCACACACAGGCACCACCGCCACUAAGCCCACCUGCGGAAUCUCCGAGAAGGUAGCAGCGAACCACUACCACAAGACUACGUCUGCCAUCCUCAUACAGGCAGCGUAGGUACUAAUCCCAAUCCCAGUCCCCCAUCUGAUCUCCAUUCCUAGAUGGAUCUGAUUUAUCCCUUUUCACAGUAGGUAGCUGAAUUGUAGCUGUCAAACACUCGUAACCUUGAGAUACAGGUGUUGGAUCUGAACUCAGUAGAAUGUUUCAGUCUACUCUUGGGAGGAUUUGGGCAAUUUACCCAUAUUGUUUUGCUACUAGAACAGUCUAAAUUAUUUAGAAAAAAUAUUAAGCCUAUUGACUAGGCCUUUUGCCCUAAUACAGAAAGUUUGUUUUUAACUCUACUAGUGGAACGCAUGACAUAUAACACUGCAGCAUUGGAUACAUGUAAACCUAGUAUGAUGCUGUGGUCCACUACUGUCUUGUUUAGAACAUAAGAGUGUGCCUAGGAAAAUAAUGAUGUAGUUUAAUUAGGCUGUUCUUCCGAGCAGAGACACUUAUGAGCCCAUGAGGGAAAAUUCUACUCCAAGGAUGCUGGCCACUCUCCCGUCAAUAUGUUCUCAUCAUGAGUAAAUGGCAGCAUUUGUGGUUAAUUCAUCAUGAUUAAAUGGCGGCAUUUGUGGUUAAUUUCGUUGACUACUUUCAGAUAACUAGAUUACUUUAGUGCCUCAUUAAGUCAUUAGUUGGUUAGCUAAUAAGCUUGAGUUAGUCCUAUAUUACAUGCAUAUCAAGUUAUUUUUAGUUCAGCAUUGUUGUGUGGCACAAACAUAUUUGUUUCAAUAUAUGCAGCCUUGGAUGUAGUCUGUUAUGCUAUUAGAGGGUUGCUCAAUAUAUGCAUUUGACUAUUUGUUUCACAUGUUAUACAGGUGAACAUUCCUAAGACCAAGAAGACCUACUGCAAGAACAAUGAGUGCUGGAAGCACACUCUGCACAAGGUGACUCAAUGCAAGAAGGGUGACGAUAGCCUAUCAGCACAAGGUGACUCUGCUAACUUUCUAAAUCUUUGUACUCCGUGGCAAGCUCACUAUAGUUCAUUUUCACUGGAGAGUUCAUUUUCUUUAACUGAACAUACAGAAUUGUUUACACAAUUCUUGUUUGAUGACUAUUAGCUAGUGAUCAUAUUCACUUCUUGCAGCUUAGUGGCUUCGAAAUUCCAUUACAGAAAUAGAAUUACAAUACCUGGAGGAAACCAUGAGAGCACACAAAUCAUUUUAGUGAGUUUACAUGUACUAGUAUUUGGAUUUUUUAUUUUGACUCAUAAUUACAGUUGUUAUAUAACCUGCUGAUGCUUCUGUGAGUUUACAUCAAUAUUUGGGCUGUCCUAGUGAUAAUACUGCUAGGUGCUAUUUUCAUAUUCAUUGACAGUAGAUUUUCAUACUAGUUAGUAUACAGUAUAGGCUACUAGCAGUAGCACUAUAACCUGUCUAGGAAGAUAUGUCAUGCUACUCUGUCUUUCUGAUAUCAUACAUAUGUAGACCAUAGUUUCUCUCUAAUUACUCAAACUCUGUAGGGAAUAGCUCAUAGCUACCGAGCUAGUUAUUAUUAAUAUUACUAGAAGUUGCUUCAAUCUUGUUAUGUUCUAUCUGAACAUAGGGUUUUCUUGCAUGUUAAUAAAAAACUUAAAAGUUACAUGGACCAAUCACCUCUAUGUAUGCAUAGAAAUAAUUUCCUAGAUACAUGGACCAAUCACCACUAUGUAUGCUAUGCACCUCUAGACUUGACAACUACUUCCUGUUUUGUAGAAAUUGAGCAAAAUGACAUUUCUUACAUUUAUGUCUUUAAUUAACUAUCUGUUGUAUUGUUGUAGCCUAGAAGCAGUUGGCCUACAUUGAGCUGAGAGGAAAGGAAGUAGCUAGAAGGUGGAUACUCUAUGUAAUUACUUACUGUGAAGUGUAAUGUGAUGUGUGAACUAAUCUGUGUACUUGAAGUGUGAACUAUCUAUACUGCUGUGAGAUGUACCAUAUUGUGAAACAUGGGAUUCAUGAAUGUACACCGUGGACCUAUUUUUUUUAUUUCUGUAAAUUGUUAUCAAAGACGCAUUUUGGCUAUAUGUGUCACUGCUAUCUUCACAAAAGUGACGUGCCCUUUCCACGUCACUAAUGACCCUCUGGACGUGUCACUAAUAUGCUUUUCUGGCAUAGUUAUUAUGACAAAUAACCAAUGUCAUACCUUAUGACAAAGAAUAUACAGAUGUCACAUGAUCCAUUUAUGACAGUGAUUUUUGGACAUAUAGUUUUUUGUCAACUAAUUGUCACAACUCUUAUAUUGUGACAUUAUUUUCAUAUGUAAUAACAUAAAUAGAAAGUCAAAAAAUCACAGGAUUCUUGUAGUGGGGGGACACUAGAGACUACUUCUCCUAUCCUUUCUAGACGCUACACAUCAUAUAGUCUUUUAAAUUUGCUGUACCGAGUCUCUUAAUCCAAGGUUAGUUUCAUCACUAAGUUCCAACUAUCGGUACCUUUAUCACAGUUAAGUUGCUCCACUCUCACACUAUACAUACAAAUCUGUAGACUUUGGUGUCAUCUGAUCCUCAUACACAACUCUUAAUCCAUGAGUAUCAGUAAUGACAUAAACCUCCAUUAGUAUUAGCACACUCCAAAUAGAAUGAUAUCUUGAAACAAACCAACAUACCAAGCACUUGAUGUACUUUAUAGAUGUUCCAGUCUUUAACCACUUCUUCUCCUUGUAGCUUCUUCAAUUGGGCUACCCCCCUUAAGGAAAGUCAACCAGGGGACACCAGAAAGGUAGCUUGCACGUUUCGAGAUAAGUUAACUAACAUUGAGAACCUCUGACGUACCAAAGAACUUAUGUGUAAGGGGAGAACAAACAAGUAUCCUGAAAUUUCCUCGUGAUAUGAAAACACCAGCGUAGUAAAAUAGGUAUAACUCUUAUUCUGUUAAUCCAAUAGAGUUGUAGCUUAUACCGUUAGAAAGAUUAUGAAAUUCACCACAACUUUCAUGUAGAAUACUUCCUCAGGUUCUGUCUUUAAACUUGAGUAAAACAGCCAAACUUAAUAUCCAUCCUAACACUGUCUCAGCAAAGGUGCAGUAACUUCCAGAAGUUAUAGCUCGAGCUACUUAACUCAUCUUGAGAUGAUCCUUACAUUUUUGAAAAGCUUAGGAAAUCCUCUACAACUUUCAUAUACAAUGUUUUUCCAGAUUCUGACUU
rnacentral:lncRNA from 1 species